rnacentral:rRNA from 1 species
GACGGAGGAUGAAAGUGUUAUCCGGAAUCACUGGGCGUAAAGCGUCUGUAGGUGGUCAAAUAAGUCAACUGUUAAAUCUUGAGGCUCAACCUCAAAAUCGCAGUCGAAACUAUUAGACUAGAGUAUAAUAGGGGUAAAGGGAAUUUCCAGUGGAGCGGUGAAAUGCGUAGAGAUUGGAAAGAACACCGAUGGCGAAGGCACUUUACUGGGCUAUUACUAACACUGAGAGACGAAAGCUAGGGUAGCAAAUGUG